rnacentral:rRNA from 1 species
UACGUAGGGACCAAGCGUUGUUCGGAUUUACUGGGCGUAAAGGGCGCGUAGGCGGCGCGGUAAGUCACUUGUGAAAUCUCUGAGCUUAACUCAGAACGGCCAAGUGAUACUGCAGUGCUAGAGUGCAGAAAGGGCAAUCGGAAUUCUUGGUGUAGCGGUGAAAUGCGUAGAUAUCAAGAGGAACACCUGAGGCGAAGGCGGGUUGCUAGGCUGACACUGACGCUGAGUGUGCGAAAGCCAGGGGAGCAAACGGG